rnacentral:rRNA from 1 species
GACGAACGCUGGCGGCGUGCUUAACACAUGCAAGUCGAACGGAAAGGCCCUGCUUUUGUGGGGUGCUCGAGUGGCGAACGGGUGAGUAACACGUGAGUAACCUGCCCUUGACUUUGGGAUAACUUCAGGAAACUGGGGCUAAUACCGGAUAGGAGCUCCUGCUGCAUGGUGGGGGUUGGAAAGUUUCGGCGGUUGGGGAUGGACUCGCGGCUUAUCAGCUUGUUGGUGGGGUAGUGGCUUACCAAGGCUUUGACGGGUAGCCGGCCUGAGAGGGUGACCGGCGACAUGGGGACUGAGAGACGGACCAGACUGCUACGGGAGGCAGCAGUGGGGAAUAUUGCACAAUGGGCGGAAGCCUGAUGCAGAAACGCCGCGUGCGGGAUGACGGCCUUCGGGUUGUAAACCGCUUUCGCCUGUGACGAAGCGUGAGUGACGGUAAUGGGUAAAGAAGCACCGGCUAACUACGUG